ensembl:ncRNA C56G2.16 ncRNA
UCGUAAGAUGGGCGAAUUUUAGAUACCGGACAUAUUUCGAGAUCAGGGGUGGGCGGCUAAUAGCCGAAUUAGUCGACUUUUUAACCGAUUAGCCGAAUUAGCCGUUAGCCGAAAAAAACGGUUAGCCGCCCACCCCUGUUCGAGAUCCGA